CGGCCCGUAGCUCAGCGGUAGAGCGGCGCUCUUAUAAGGCGUAUGUCACAGGUUCGAAUCCUGUCGGGCCGACCA
rnacentral:tRNA from 1 species